GGGGAAUUUUGGACAAUGGGGGCAACCCUGAUCCAGCCAUGCCGCGUGAGUGAAGAAGGCCUUCGGGUUGUAAAGCUCUUUCGGACGGAAAGAAAUCGCCGCCUCUAACAUAGGCGGUGGAUGACGGUACCGUAAGAAGAAGCACCGGCUAACUACGUGCCAGCAGCCGCGGUAAUACGUAGGGUGCGAGCGUUAAUCGGAAUUACUGGGCGUAAAGGGUGCGUAGGCGGUUAUUUAAGUCUGCCGUGAAAUCCCCGGGCUCAACCUGGGAAUGGCGGUGGAUACUGGAUAGCUAGAGUGUGUCAGAGGAUGGUGGAAUUCCCGGUGUAGCGGUGAAAUGCGUAGAGAUCGGGAGGAACAUCAGUGGCGAAGGCGGCCAUCUGGGACAACACUGACGCUGAAGCACGAAAGCGUGGGGAGCAAACA
rnacentral:rRNA from 1 species